AGGGCCUGCUACGCGGUCAACACUCAUGGAAAACCAAUGGGGUAAACAGUGGAGAAGAACACUGUGUGCUGAGCAGUUUGCUCUCUUGGCACUGGGGUCCUUUGCAGGACUUGGAGCAGAGGACUGAAGUGAUCAGAAUAAGAUUCCAUGACUGAAGACACCACAUCCUUGACUGCAAGAUGUAGAAAAGUCAAGCUGAAGCUGAGCUAUGGUCAGACAAGACCGAAUCCUGUGACUUGAAGUUCUUCAAAGAAGUAAAAUCCACAUUGAAGGUCCCUCAGACUGACCUUGGCUGAUAGAACACUAUGAUUAUGGAGAGAGGGAAUGUUACAGAUCAGGAGCUAAUGUUGGCUUCUCAAGAUGCUGGUAUAGACACAGAACUCUCCUAAGGAUGAAUCUGGUAUGUAAUUUCAGAAAGAGAUGAGAAACAUGGAAAGGCAAGUAAGGGCUGUAGUAGUAAACAGCAUCAAUGAGAAACUAGAUACAAUAAAAAUAGUGACUAUCGGAUUCACAAAGGAAACUACAGACCCAGACUUAGAGUCCUGAGCAAAGUGGUUGGGGAAAGGGAAAAUGCCCUCCCCCCAACACUCUGGGUCCUCAAAAAGAAGCAGAAAAGAGACUCAGCAGAAGCAAACAGAGCAAUAACAAACUUUUAGACAGCAGAUUUGCAGGCUAUGUGAUGUGGAUGUGGGGGAAGGGUCCCAGGGUAGGUGGCGACAAUGACUCCCAGAUUCGUCGAACACCCCACAGGAGCUGACCGGACACCAGUCUACUCAGACAAAGGCUGUAGGAUGGUAGAGAGGUAGCCCAAACCUAGAUAGGAUGAGAAUGUCCAGCUGCAAAUGUAAGUCCCCCCAGAACCUCAAACACGGAAACUCACGUGGGAAAAGUACAAACAUCCUGUGCAGGUGGGAGACAGUAGCCGUCAGGGUGGAUCCUGGCUUGAGGAGCCCUGCACAUAAAGGGCUGGGAAACUCGUGGUGUGGGUGGGCAGGGCACGUAGACGCUGACUCCAGAAUGCAGUAGUUCAACUCAGUGAAGAAGACAUGACAGACACAGACAGCGUGCAUCCAGCUCAUUCUGGUCUAACCUGCUCCAGCUCCAGAGACACAAGCAGCUGUUCUUGCCAUAAGCAUCUCGGCAAGAAGAGUGACUGAUGUUGUAAUAUCUUGUUUUCAUUUUAUUUUAUUUUUAUCCUCACUUCUGUAUUAAUUCUUGAUUGUUUUCAGUACUGAUUUCAGGACUGAAACUCAGUACUGAAAACAACUCAGGUAUGGUUGUCCUGUCUUCCUUUGUGCCUGUUUCCUUCUUGUGUUCUUUCCUUAUCCACAGCUAAUGGUUGUCCUCUCAUCCCUACAUUACUUCCUUUCGCUCUUUCCAAUCCCUCUUCUUUUUACUGCCUUUUUUUUUUUGGGUGGAGAACAAUGUCUCACUGUGUAUACCUGAUUAGCCCGAUACUGGCUAAGCUGUCCUUGAACUCACAGAAAUCACCUCUGUCUCCUCAGUAUUGAAAUUAAAGGCAAUGAACCACCACAUCUGCUCUCUUUUUACUUCUUAAUUAUAGUUUCCCACAGCUUUAAUAAUCUUUAAACUAACAUUAUUCGUGAGG